UGCGGUGUCGCCUAACGGUAGGGCAGCUCCCUGUUAAGGAGCCUGUUGCAAGUUCGAAUCUUGCCGCCGCAG
rnacentral:tRNA from 1 species